rnacentral:rRNA from 1 species
AGAAUCAACGCUGGCGGCGUGCCUAACACAUGCAAGUCGAACGAGAAAGUGGAGCAAUCCAUGAGUAAAGUGGCGCACGGGUGAGUAACACGUGACUAACCUACCCUUGAGUGGGGGAUAACCUAGAGAAAUCUGGGCUAAUACCGCAUAAUACCUUCGGGUCAAAGGAGCAAUUCGCUUAAGGAGGGGGUCGCGGCCGAUUAGUUAGUUGGCGGGGUAAUGGCCCACCAAGACUAUGAUCGGUAUCCGGCCUGAGAGGGCGCACGGACACACUGGAACUGAAACACGGUCCAGACUCCUACGGGAGGCAGCAGUGGGAAUUUGCGCAAUGGGGAAACCCUGACGCAGCAACGCCGCGUGGAGGAUGAAGUCCCUUGGGACGUAAACUCCUUUCGAUCGGGACGAUAAUGACGGUACCGAGAGAAGAAGCCCGGCUAACUUCGCGCCAGCAGCCGC